UACGGGGGGGGGCAAGCGUUGUUCGGAAUUACUGGGCGUAAAGGGCGCGUAGGCGGUCUGCUAAGUUGGGUGUGAAAACUCUGGGCUUAACCCAGAGCCUGCAUUCAAAACUGACAGGCUAGAGUUCUGGAGGGGAUAGCGGAAUUCCUGGUGUAGCGGUGAAAUGCGUAGAUAUCAGGAGGAACACCGGUGGCGAAGGCGGCUAUCUGGACAGAGUCUGACGCUGAGGCGCGAAAGCUAGGGGAGCAAACAGG
rnacentral:rRNA from 1 species